rnacentral:rRNA from 1 species
UACGGAGGAUCCAAGCGUUAUCCGGAUUCAUUGGGUUUAAAGGGUGCGUAGGCGGAAUGAUAAGUCAGUGGUGAAAUCUCAGAGCUUAACUCUGAAACUGCCAUUGAUACUGUCAAUCUUGAGUACAUUUGAUGUGGGCGGAAUGUGUCAUGUAGCGGUGAAAUGCUUAGAUAUGACACAGAACACCGAUUGCGAAGGCAGCUCACAAAACUGUAACUGACGCUGAGGCACGAAAGCGUGGGUAUCAAACAGG